GAUUCAAUAGUAUAGUGGUUAUCAUAGUGGAUUCUGAUGGCCUUCCUGAGCAGUAAAAAUUCCACUAACCCAGGUUCGAGUCCUGGUUGGACUU